CAUUAAUUUAAUUAUGGACAGUGUAACUCAGAAUUUGCCUGUAAACUGGAUGUGGAUGCUUCUGGAGAUAUUGAACUGAGAAAGUCAGUGUUUGUGGGUAAGUAGCUGAUGACAGAGACAGAAC
rnacentral:lncRNA from 1 species